rnacentral:rRNA from 1 species
GAUGAACGCUGGCGGCGUGCCUGACACAUGCAAGUCGAGCGAUCUUCUUCGGAAGAGAGCGGCGGACGGGUGAGUAACGCGUGGGUAACCUGCCCUGUACACACGGAUAACAUACCGAAAGGUAUGCUAAUACGGGAUAACAUAAGAGAGUCGCAUGGCUAUCUUAUCAAAGCUUUUGCGGUACAGGAUGGACCCGCGUCUGAUUAGCUAGUUGGUAAGGUAACGGCUUACCAAGGCGACGAUUAGUAGCCGACCUGAGAGGGUGAUCGGCCACAUUGGAACUGAGACACGGUCCAAACUCCUACGGGAGGCAGCAGUGGGGAAUAUUGCACAAUGGGCGAAAGCCUGAUGCAGCAACGCCGCGUGAGCGAUGAAGGCCUUCGGGUCGUAAAGCUCUGUCCUCAAGGAAGAUAAUGACGGUACUUGAGGAGGAAGCCCCGGCUAACUACGUGCCAGCAGCCGCGGUAAUACGUAGGGGGCUAGCGUUAUCCGGAAUUACUGGGCGUAAAGGGUGCGUAGGCGGUCUUUCAAGUCAGAAGUGAAAGGCUACGGCUCAACCGUAGUAAGCUUUUGAAACUGUAAGACUUGAGUGCAGGAGAGGAGAGUGGAAUUCCUAGUGUAGCGGUGAAAUGCGUAGAUAUUAGGAGGAACACCAGUUGCGAAGGCGGCUCUCUGGACUGUAACUGACGCUGAGGCACGAAAGCGUGGGGAGCAAACAGG